rnacentral:rRNA from 1 species
CCUACGGGUGGCAGCAGUGAGGAAUAUUGGUCAAUGGACGAGAGUCUGAACCAGCCAUGUAGCGUGAAGGAUGACUGCCCUAUGGGUUGUAAACUUCUUUUAUAAAGGAAUAAAACGAGGCACGUGUGCCUUUUUGCAUGUACUUUAUGAAUAAGGAUCGGCUAACUCCGUGCCAGCAGCCGCGGUAAUACGGAGGAUCCAAGCGUUAUCCGGAUUUAUUGGGUUUAAAGGGAGCGUAGAUGGGUUGUUAAGUCAGUGGUGAAAGUUUGAGGCUCAACCGUGAAAUUGCAAUUGAUACUGGUAGGCUUGAGUAUAGUUGCGGUAGGCGGAAUGCGUGGUGUAGCGGUGAAAUGCUUAGAUAUCACGAAGAACACCGAUUGCGAAGGCAGCUUACUAAGCUGUGACUGACAUUGAUGCUCGAAAGUGUGGGUAUCAAACAGGAUUAGAUACCCUGGUAGUC